rnacentral:rRNA from 1 species
AGCGAACGCUGGCGGCAGGCCUAACACAUGCAAGUCGAACGGAUCCUUCGGGAUUAGUGGCGGACGGGUGAGUAACACGUGGGAACGUGCCCUUUUGGUCGGGAACAAUCCAGGGAAAUUUGAGUUAAAACGGGAGUGGCCUUUGGGGGGAAAGUUUUACCGCCAUUGGAGCGGCCCGCGUCUGUUUAGCUAGUUGGUGAGGUAACGGCCCACCAAGGCGACGAUCAGUAGCUGGUCUGAGAGGAUGAUCAGCCACACUGGGACUGAGACACGGCCCAGACUCCUACGGGAGGCAGCAGUGGGGAAUCUUGCGCAAUGGGCGAAAGCCUGACGCAGCCAUGCCGCGUGAAUGAUGAAGGUCUUAGGAUUGUAAAAUUCUUUCAGCGGGGACGAUAAUGACGGUACCCGCAGAAGAAGCUCCGGCUAACUUCGUG